rnacentral:rRNA from 2 species
GGACCCGCACAAGCAGCGGAGCAUGUGGUUUAAUUCGAAGCAACGCGAAGAACCUUACCAGGGCUUGACAUCCUGCCGGCGGAGGGGGUAAUGCCUCUCUUUCUACGGACGGCAGAGACAGGUGGUGCAUGGUUGUCGUCAGCUCGUGUCGUGAGAUGUUGGGUUAAGUCCCGCAACGAGCGCAACCCUUGCCUUUAGUUGCCAUCGCGUAAUGGCGGGCACUCUAAAGGGACUGCCGGGGAUAACUCGGAGGAAGGUGGGGAUGACGUCAAAUCAUCAUGCCCCUUAUGUUCUGGGCUACACACGUGCUACAAUGGCCGGUACAACGGGACGCGAAGCCGCGAGGCGGAGCAAAUCACGAAAACCGGUCCCAGUUCGGAUCGCAGGCUGAAACCCGCCUGCGUGAAGUCGGAGUUGCUAGUAAUCGCAGAUCAGAAUGCUGCGGUGAAUACG